GAGGAGAGAAUCCUAAGGUGAUCGAGAGAACUCUCGUUAAGGAACUCGGCAAAAUGACCCCGUAACUUCGGGAGAAGGGGUGCUCUGUUAGGGUGCAAGCCCGAGAGAGCCGCAGUGAAUAGGCCCAGGCGACUGUUUAGCAAAAACACAGGUCUCUGCGAAGCCGUAAGGCGAAGUAUAGGGGCUGACGCCUGCCCGGCGCUGGAAGGUUAAGAGGAGCGCUUAGCGUAAGCGAAGGUGCGAAUUGAAGCCCCAGUAAACGGCGGCCGUAACUAUAACGGUCCUAAGGUAGCGAAAUUCCUUGUCGGGUAA
rnacentral:rRNA from 1 species